UCCGGUUAUGGUGUAGUGGCUAACAUUAUCGCCUCUCAUGUGUCCCAACCGAGUGAACUCGCGCGAUAGCCCAGGGUUCGAUUCCCUGUAACGGAA